CAACAACUCCCAAUAAUUCUAAUCCCUACUGCUCUAUAAGCACGGUGUGUAGGCGUCCACACCGUGCGCGUUCUGCCUCCCGACGCUCCAUGCAUCUCGGUCACGCUUUCAUCUCCGCCAUCAUCGGCUACCUGCCUCGACAUCCUCCCCCUCCGCUCACCGUCCAGGAUCUCAUCGCGCACGCCUAGUCUGUCCCACCCCGACAUCCUCCCCCACCACGCCGUGCACGCCUCACGUCGUGCGUCUCCACCACGCCCGCCGCACACGCCGCGAUGAGAUCCAGGAAAGCAGUCUGCGGAUCCCCCGCGACAUCCUCCUCCACCGCGCCAUGGCCGCCCCCGACGUCCUCCCCUCCGCGCCGCGCCCGCCCGAUCCAAUGAUGAAAGCGGGUCGGAUCUCGGGGGCACUUCCCCCACCACUGCUCCAAGCUCAUGGAGCACCAAGAAUCCGCCAAGUCGAGCCCUGAGCUCCGACGUGAACCUGCGAAUCCAGCGCCUCUGUCAGGCGGGUGACCUCGCAUGCGCUCUGAGGCUGCUGGGCUCUGACGGCGGCGUAGAUGUGCGGAGCUACUGCACGGUCGUUCAGCUCUGCGGGGAGGAGCGGUCGUUGGAGGCUACCAAGAGAGCACAUGCCUUAAUUCGCGCGUCCAGUGUCGCUGCCACGGGUGGAAAAAGGGAGCGUCUUUGGGAAGAGGUUAAUGCUGGCGUACCUGAAAUGCGGCGACCUGGGCGAGGCAAGGACGGUGUUCGAUGGAAUGCCUCCUCAAGCUGCUGAUGUCCGUGUCCGGACUUCGCUGAUGAGCGCGUACGCCAAGGCGGGUGAUUUACAGAAAGUUGUUUUGCUGUUUAGGCAGAUGCAAGUGCUGCGGGGUCAGUCCAGAUGCACAUGCUGUUUCCUGUGUCCUCAAGUGCGUUGCCAGUUUGGGCAGCCUUACGAACGAGGUGAUUCAUGGAUUACUUUGAGAAGUUGGGUCUCGGUCAAGCAUGCGCGGUUGCAAAUGCUCUGAUCGCCGUGUACUCGAGGUGUGGACGGAUGGAGGAUGCGAAGCGGGUAUUUGACAGUAUGCAUCCCUGGGAUGCCAUCUCUUGGAAUUCUAUGAUUGGUGGAUGCUUUUCAAACGGAUGGCAUGGUACAGCUGUUGAUUUUUUCAGCAAAAUGUGGUCUCAAGGUACGGAGAUCAGUUCAGUGACAGUGCUCGUGUUCUGCCUGCUUGUGCGGGAUUAGGUUAUGGCCUUAUUGGAAAAGCGGUGCAUGGAUACUCCGUGAAAUCCGGAUUGCUUUGAGGCCUUGAUUCUGUACAAAGUGGGAUAGAUGAUGCUGCUCUUGGAUCCAAACUGGUAUUCAUGUAUGUGAAAUGUGGGGACAUGGGCUCUGCAAGAAGGGUGCUUGAUGCGAUGUCAUCAAAAGGUAAUGUGCACGUAUGGAAUCUGAUAAUGGGUGGGUACGCAAAGGGAUGGCUUGGUGGCUCAUGGAUAUAUAGUAAAAUUGGGUUUCAGGGCAGAGUGUGCAGUUUGCAAUGCACUGAUAUCAUUCUAUGCAAAGUCCAACAUGAUUGGCGAUGCAGUCUUGGUGUUCGAUAUAAUGCCUCGUCAAGAUACCAUUUCUUGGAAUUAUGUGAUUAGUGGAUGCUCUUCCAAUGGACUAAACAGUGAAGCUAUUGAGUUGUUCAUAAGAAUGUGGACACAAGGACAUGAGCUGGACUUAGUUACAUUGCUAAGUGUUUUUGCCAGCUUGUGCAGUCACGCUAUUGGUUUGCAGGAAGGGUGGUUCAUGGUUACUCGGUUAAAACUGGAUUGAUUGGGGAAACAUCUCUUGCAAACUGGAUUCAUUGUUCAUGUUGCUAAUGCUAGCAAUUUUUCCUACCAGAUUUCUUGGUAUAUCUUUUAGGAAGCCUGCUAAAUCUACAUUGGAACUUAUCUUUAAAAUUUGUAUGUCAUCAAGUCCAAUUUUAUUUGUGCAAUAAAAGCAGGGAGGCUUUUAUCUAUAACAUUUUCCUUUUAUCUUUUCUGUAGAGAUUUUUCUCACAACUAGCUGUUAGGCAACUUCUAUGUUUUCCUGUAGUGUAUGUGCGCAACCAUGGGUCGGUUCCUAGGGCGGACUGGUCCACCUGGACCGUGGAGGUGGCGGGGCUCGUGAGACGCCUCGCCAAGUUGACCAUGGAGCAGCUAGUGACGGAGUUCGAGACCUUGGAACUCCCCGUGACGCUGGUAUGCGUGGCCAACCGACACAAGGAGCAUAACAUGGUGUGCCAAAAGGUGGGCUUCAACUAGCCCCGACGCCAUCUCCAUGUCCAUGCGGUGCGGCACGCGCCUCUACGACGUGUUGUGUCACUGCGGUGUCAUGGGCACCACGGAUGACGUUGUCAACGUGUGCUUCAAUACUGAUUCUUUAGAAAUACUUUGUGCCAUAUUAUAAUAUUGGUUGCACAUUAGUCCAUUCUAUUUAAUCACACGGAUUUCACAAA